GAUGAACGCUAGCGACAGGCUUAACACAUGCAAGUCGAGGGGCAGCAUAAAAGUAGCAAUACUUUGGUGGCGACCGGCGCACGGGUGAGUAACGCGUAUGCAACCUACCUAUCAGAGGGGAAUAACCCGGCGAAAGUCGGACUAAUACCGCAUAAAACAGGGGCACCGCAUGGUGAUAUUUGUUAAAGAAAUUCGCUGAUAGAUGGGCAUGCGUUCCAUUAGGUAGUUGGUGAGGUAACGGCUCACCAAGCCUACGAUGGAUAGGGGAACUGAGAGGUUGGUCCCCCACACUGGUACUGAGACACGGACCAGACUCCUACGGGAGGCAGCAGUGAGGAAUAUUGGUCAAUGGGGCGAGAGCCUGAACCAGCCAAGUCGCGUGAAGGAAGAAGGAUCUAUGGUUCGUAAACUUCUUUUGCAGGGGAAUAAAGUGCAGGACGUGUCCUGUUUUGUAUGUACCCUGAGAAUAAGGAUCGGCUAACUCCGUGCCAGCAGCCGCGGUAAAACG
rnacentral:rRNA from 1 species